GAAUCACAGACAGAGAUGGAGCAACUUCCAGCAGUUGGAGUUGCAUAAAGAACGGUAGGCGGUGCUUCAUGACUUCAUCUAACUGGCAAAUGUUGUCCAGGCUCCGUUGGUGAUACAGUUUUUUUUAAUGUGUAUGAUAUUUUUGUCAUUUUAAAGCCGGUCCUACAACCGCAUCCAAGAAUAACAUGCAGCUUAUCUCAGAACUGUUGGUGAAAAUUAUUCUUGGAGCUAGGUUUAAUUGAGCUGCAUUUUAAAGAGGUGCAAUUUCACAAUUUGUGUAUAUUUUCUAAGUUCACUAUUUUGUCAUGUGUUGAGAAAAACAGAUUUAAAAAUCACACGGUCUAAUAUUUACAUUUAGCAUAACUGCAACAUGCUUUUCUUUUUUUUUUUUAAGACUUGAAAUUCAAAGUUUCAGACUUGUGACUUUACUCGGACUUUUACAGUGACUUGAGACUCGACUCUGACUUGAGGAUAAAGACUUGAGACUUACAUGAGACUUGCAAAACAAUGACUUGGUCCCACCUCUGCACUGUUGCCCCACAGCCUGAUGUUCCCACCAUGCUUCACAGCAGGUAUGCUGUUCUUUGGAUGCAACUCAGCAUUCUUUCUCCUCCAAACACAACAAUUAGACUUUUUAGCAAAAAGAUCUAUUUUGGCUUCAUCUGAACAUAUGAAAUUCUCUCAGUCCUCUUCUGGAUCCAAAUGCUUUCUAGCAAACUUCAGACGGGCCUGGGCGUGCACCAGCUUAAUCAGAGCGACACGUCUGGCACUGCAGGAUUUGAGUCCCUGGCGGCUUCGUUAGCCUUUGUUACUUUGGUCCCAGCUCUCUGCAGGUCAUUCGCUCGCGCCCCCCGUGUGGUUCUGGGAUCUUUGCUCACCGUUCAUGUGAUCGACCCCUACUGGGUGAGAGCUUCCAUGGAGCCCCAGGUCGAUGGAGAUUAUCACUGGUCUUGCUCCCACAGUUGAUUUCUUCACACCAAGCUGCUUGCCUAUUGCAGAUUCAGUCUUCCCAGCCCGCUGCAGAUCUACAAUUUUGUUUCUGGUGUCCUUUGACAGCUCUUUGGUCUUGGACAUAGUGGAGUUUGGAGUGUGACUGUUUGAGGUUGUGGACAGGUGUCUUUUAUCCUGAUAACGAGCAAAAACAGGUGCUAUUAA
ensembl:lncRNA